rnacentral:rRNA from 1 species
AUUGAACGCUGGCGGCAGGCCUAACACAUGCAAGUCGGACGAGUGGCGGACGGGUGAGUAAUGUCUGGGAAUCUAGCUUAUGGAGGGGGAUAACUACGGGAAACUGUAGCUAAUACCGCGUACCAUAGGAUGAGCCCAGGUGGGAUUAGGUAGUUGGUGAGGUAAAGGCUCACCAAGACGACGAUCCCUAGCUGGUCUGAGAGGAUGACCAGCCACACUGGGACUGAGACACGGCCCAGACGCCGACGGGAGGCAGCAGUGGGGAAUAUUGCGCAAUGGGCGCAAGCCUGACGCAGCAAUGCCGCGUGAAUGAAGAAGGCCUUCGGGUGGUAAAGUUCUUUCGGUAGCGAGGCGUUAACUACAGAAGAAGCACCGGCUAACUCCGUGCCAGCAGCCGCGGUAAUUC